rnacentral:rRNA from 1 species
AGGACGAACGCUGGCGGCGUGCUUAACACAUGCAAGUCGAGCGGUAAGGCCUUUCGGGGUACACGAGCGGCGAACGGGUGAGUAACACGUGGGUGAUCUGCCCUGCACUUCGGGAUAAGGCCUGGGAAACUGGGCCUAAUACCGGAUAUGACCUCAGGUUGCAUGACUUGGGGUGAAAGAUUUAUCGGUGCAGGAUGGGCCCGCGGCCUAUCAGCUUGGUUGGUGGGUAAUGGCCUACCGAAGGCGACGACGGGUAGCCGACCUGACGAGGGUGACCGGCCACACUGGGACUGAGACACGGCCCAGACUCCGUACGGGAGGCCAGCGAGGUCGGGGAAUAUUGCACGAAUGGGGACUAAAGCCUAGAUGCAGCGACGCCGCGUGAGGAUCGGACGGUCCGUUGGGUUA